AUGGGAAUCACCAUCGACCGAGAAACAGGAAAUUACGAAGUACACGAGUUAGUCACUGAACACAACCAUGUCUUGCAAUUGCCUGGAACAUGCCACUUGAUGCCAUCACAACGGAAGAUAUCGACCUUGCAAGCUUUUGACAUUGAAACUGCAGAUGAUUCAGGAAUUGUACCAAAAGCAGCCCAUGAGCUGGCAAGUCGGCAAGUUGGUGGGUCAUUAAACCUUACCUACACACCUCGUGAUCGCAAGAACUAUUUGCGAACCAAGCGUCAAAGGGAGUUGAUGUAUGGUGAAGUUGGAAGUAUGCUCAAGUACUUUCGAGAUAAAAAAAAUGAGAAUCUUGCAUUUGAAUAUGAUGUACAACACGAUUGCGAUGAACAAAUAGCAAAUAUCUUCUGGGCUGAUGCAAAGAUGAUCAUUGACUAUGCUCACUUUGGUGAUGUUGUUACGUUUGAUACUACAUUUGGGACAAAUAAAGAGUACAGACCCUUUGGUGUAUUUGUUGGCUUCAACCAUUUUAGAGAAAUGGUCAUUUUUGGUGUUGCACUUCUAUACGACGAGACAUUUGAGUCCUUCAAAUGGUUGUUCAACACUUUCUUAUCCAUACAUAACAAAAAACAGCCUAGAACUAUCUUUACUGGCCAGGACGUAGCAAUGGGUAAUGCAAUUCGGGCGGUAUUUACAGAAGCAUGGCAUGGAUUGUGCACUUUUCACAUAAUGCAAAAUGCCAUCAAACAUUUACCUCAUAAGAAAAAAGACGAGGAUGGCUCAAAUGUACUUGCUGAUUUCAGUGCUUGCAUGUACAAGUACGAGGAAGAGGAAGACUUUGAAGAAGCUUUCACUGCCAUAAGAAUCAAUGUGGAUACACAGACUUGGGUUGUGCAAGGAAAGAGAGAUAAAGAGGUAAAUGAGGAAUAUGAGUCGAGGAAAAAAUUACCUAGAGUUAGAAUAAGAACUCCUACAGUAAUACAAGCAAGCAAAGUUUACACACCUAGCAUAUUUGAAGAUUUUUAG
rnacentral:rRNA from 1 species